rnacentral:rRNA from 1 species
UACGUAGGGCGCAAGCGUUGUCCGGAAUUAUUGGGCGUAAAGAGCUCGUAGGCGGUUUGUCGCGUCUGCUGUGAAAACGCAAGGCUUAACCUUGCGCCUGCAGUGGGUACGGGCAGACUAGAGUGCGGUAGGGGAGACUGGAAUUCCUGGUGUAGCGGUGGAAUGCGCAGGUAUCAGGAGGAACACCGAUGGCGAAGGCAGGUCUCUGGGCCGUUACUGACGCUGAGGAGCGAAAGCAUGGGGAGCGAACAGG